AUACGGAGGGUGCAAGCGUUAUCCGGAAUCAUUGGGUUUAAAGGGUCCGUAGGCGGACUAUUAAGUCAGAGGUGAAAUCCCACAGCUCAACUGUGGGACUGCCUUUGAUACUGGUAGUCUUGAGUUAUAUGGAAGUAGAUAGAAUGUGUAGUGUAGCGGUGAAAUGCAUAGAUAUUACACAGAAUACCGAUUGCGAAGGCAGUCUACUACGUAUAUACUGACGCUAAGGGACGAAAGCGUGGGGAGCGAACAGGAUUAGAAACCCCAGUAGUCC
rnacentral:rRNA from 1 species